UAAACAGAAAGAUCGAAGACAGCACAGCUGUCUUUUUUGUUGACUCAAUAGUCUACUUGGUUUCAGGACUAGGGUUCUUAGUAUGUUAAGAAGAUAUUUAGCUCCUCAGAGUUGAAUUCAGUUCCCUCAACACAGGCAUCUGUUGACAUUUGACAAGCCCUUGGGUAUCAGACCGGACUCACAGCUGCUUCUCCAGAAGGGCAGGAGGCAUGGAUAACAGCCUUGAAGAGGCCUUGACCAGAAAGUUUGAGAACUGAACUGCAGAGUCCCUUCAGCAUAUUCAUACUACCCAUCUGUCUGGAU
rnacentral:lncRNA from 1 species